GCGACAGCGACGGCUCUGCGGGCCGGAAGCUUCAUACCCUUGUGGUGUGAGAAGCUGCAUUAUUUUUGAGGGCUCGUCUGGGAUAACUUUGGAGUCUGGUUCUUCAGGCUGCCCUGGCCUCUGAGUGAGGCAGGGGGCGUCCCAAACUCUUCUAACUUCAUCAACGUCACAGAACCCAAUGCUCACCACCACAAGGAACAGUCUGCCCUUGAAAACUACCAAGUGCCCUGGCAUGAUGGGAAUUUACUCGGCCAGUUUUUUUGUCUAUGUGUGUCAUAAUUUGGGGGCUUUGUGGAAUCCUCUUGGAAAGACAGUAUGAACCUCAGGUGAUUGGAGAGAGCCCAGGAGUUUGUAGUUGUCCUGAGGAGCAAGGAGUGAACACAGAAGAGAUUUCAGCUCUCUGCAGUUGAAGAGUACCUUGGCCUUUAUGGUAAUGGCUUGCAGAGACUUGCCCUACCCCCCCGUACAGGACCUCCCUUGGGACAGAUAACCACCUUUUUCUUGGUUCCUACAAAAAUUCCGAAGUUGCUGUGGUUGUUCCUGGGCUGGGAAACAGAAGACCAGAUGAACUUUAAAAAGUGUUUGUUUUGGUGACUUAAGGGUCAAAGGCUUGUACCCCAGAGGGUGUGCCUAUGCAGAUGUACUGAAUGUGGGAGAAUUCUCCCCGUUUGCUGAUUCCUGAUGUGGACCAACAGAGCUCAAGUCAGUGAGCGGCACAGAAAGUCUUGCAGAAAAUGACUGCUUGCUAUUUGUGAUCGUCUAAGGAACAUGUGAAACAUGAAAAUGACUUUUUGUACAUCCAUGAUUUCGUAUGAUUCAACCUUUCUCCCACUGGCAUCCCAGAUUACUUCACUCCGUCUACCUUUUCAUUGACCUGCGGGCUGAGCGCUGCCAAUACUGGGUCUGGGGUGGAGUCAUUCAGGCCACUUGGAGGACAUUUGGGCCGCCGCCUUGUUUCUUUUUUUUUGAACAAUUUAUUUUCAUAUAGCUUUGUUGAUAUAAGCUUAAAAAAAGCAAACUAGUUUUGAUAUUAAUUCAAAUAAAAUUAGAAAGCUAUAUAUGUAACCACUUUCCUGUUUAUUAUUUAGUGACGUUUAACCUUAAUGCAUUACUUAAAUAAGGACAUAAAUCCACCAGGUGCCCUUCUUUCAGGC